GCUAAAUGUUGACCAUUCUUUUCUGAAGUAUGAGGAUCUCUUCUCAAAGGCAGCAUUUCUUCUACUCUUUUCAUUUGGCACCGCUAAACAAGUGACUCUCCCACAUGAUAGGAAAAGGACUAAAAUUUGUUGUUAUAAUGUAGUUUAAAGUUGUAAGAUUAAUAGGGUUAGUUUUAAUUCCAUCUGUAGGUAUAUAUAUGGCUUGGUUUGUCUCACCAUGUUUGUCCGUUUUCUUGGGAACUGUCAUUUCGCUACAUUUGUUCCUUAAGAUUUUAGCUACUGCAACUAUCAAUUCCUUCUCUUUUAUCAACUCUUUUGGGGAAUCUCUCUUAUUGACAUCAGCAUAA